rnacentral:rRNA from 1 species
GAUGAACGCUGGCGGCGUGCCUAAUACAUGCAAGUCGAGUGAACGGACGAGAAGCUUGCUCCUCUGAUGUUAGCGGCGGACGGGUGAGUAACACGUGGAUAACCUACCUAUAAGACUUGGGUAACUUCGGGAAACCGGUGCUAAUACCGGAUCAUAUUUUGAACCGCAUGGUUCAAAAGUGCAAGACGGUCUUGCUGUCUGUAUUAGAUGGAUCCGCGCUGCAUUAGCUAGUUGGUAAGGUAACGGCUUACCAAGGCGACGAUGCGUAGCCGACCUGAGAGGAUGAUCGGCCACACUGGAACUGAGACACGGUCCAGACUCCUACGGGAGGCAGCAGUGGGGAAUCUUGGACAAAGGGCGAAAGCCUGAUGGAGCAAUGCCGCGUGGGUGAAGAAGGCCUUCGGGUCGUAAAGCUCUGUUGUUAGGGAAGAACAGAAGUAGAUGAAUACGCGGAUGUUCUGACGGUACCCAAACAAUAAGCACCGGCUAACUACGUG